GAAGGCAUAGCUCAAUGGUAGAGCUCAUACUUAGCAUGCAUGAGGUCCAGGGUUCAAUCCUCAGUACCUCCA
rfam:Camelus ferus unplaced genomic scaffold scaffold142, whole genome shotgun sequence.